GCCAGGAUAGCUUUUGUCUGCUUUCUCCUGGUGAAGAAGACAAACCAGGUAGUCCCUUGUUGUUCACCUUUGCUUUGGAUUCAGACAUUUACCACAAUUCAGGAUUUUCUGAACUGCAAACAGCAUUGCCUGUCAGGACAAAGAAAACUCCAGAAUGAAGGCACCUUAGCACGUUUCAUGUGGAGAGAGAAGUUACUACGGAAGGAGGCAUGGACCAGAUGGAAAACAGCUUUUCUGAGGCUACUGUAUCUUCCCGGAGAGUUAUUGGGGAGAUGAGCUGGAUGAUGAUAAUUUGCAAUUUGAUUCCUGAAAACUAGUUUGAUUCCAGGACAUCAGCCAUUCUGAGAGCGUGAGAACAGGAAUGGAUGCCCAAUGACAGCCAUCAUGUACAGUCAAGAAGGGGGCAAAAAUAUUUCUAUUAGUUGAGUGAAUCUGUCACUUAUCAUGAUAAAAUGUCUCUGGAAGAGGAGCAAUCAUCAUCUGACUAAACCUGCCAAUCUUCAGCUGUCUAGAGAGAGUAAACCUCUGACCCAGUUAGACAGCAGAAGAAAGAAUGGGUGUUCCCAAAGUGACUGAAGUCAAAAUGCUCAUAAUUACUUAAAUGAUAUCCAGGUCCUCCUAAUGAUCGCAAUUUGGACGUCUUGCAAUCAAGAAGUUCGUCUCCUCCUCAGGCAGUGCCAGUGCAUCAUCUUUGUGUUCGUAUGCACAGUUCCAGUCUUACUAUUUAUUUGUGUAUGUGUUUCAGCACAGUAGGUAAAUGUUGCCGAACUGUUUAGUGACAGCAUAAUAUAAAGAAGAGAGCAA
rnacentral:lncRNA from 1 species